UGACAGGAAAAUUGGACCCUAUGCCAGUUAUUAAAAGAAAGCAGUGCCUGGAAUUUCCACAGAGGUUCUCCAGCCAGCGAUCAGUGGAGCUAAAUGGAAUAAACAACUUAGACCGCUGAACAACUGAAAGCUGUCAUUUACACCAUCUCUCCAAGGGUCUACAGACAUGCAGUCGAGCCUGCCUCCUUCAGUUCUCUUCUGUUCACUCCUAUGAUGUGUCACUGAAAGGGAAUGCUGGAGCUGACAGCCAUCCAGAUUAGCUGACAGCUUCCGAGGACAGGACUUCUCAUUGAUUAGCUGGCUUUAAUUCCAUCCGGUCAGCAUCUGGGACAUUCUACGAAAUCAACAAACAAAUUGUCUUCAGCGUGAAACCUAUAUCCCAUUGCAGAACAUCUGACUAUAUCAAAUAUUAUUGAUCUCAUCGCUGCUUUAUCUCAUUAAUGAGGCCUGUUGGACCUUCUCUCCAAAGUUUAUGACCUUCUUCUUACCUUUCAUAUCUGCAGAAAGGGGGUGCUUUUGUUGCCAUUCAUUCCUUCCUCCAUCUUCAUUGUUGCUUCAGCAAUUUUCAGUUGAGAUCAUCAAAUAAUUUUCUGGAUUUGCUCUGAUGUGGACCUUUUAAAUGUUGAGGUAAUUGUAGUCAAAACUCAAAACUUGCUUUGUUUUGAGCUCAUAGUUGUCUUAUUCCUCAAUGUGCUUCCUCCACUAAAACAUGAAAUGCAUGUUCUCUGAAAUGUUGCAUAAAUUUUAGUGAGUUUUCAAUUUUGCUGCAGUAAGUACCUCCUUGACAAAGGUCAAGUGUUUUAUGUACUGUUGUUAAAUUAUUUAAUUUGGUCUUCUGUCUAUUAUACUUUUGUUCUAUGGAUGGUUUCACUUUCCUUUGGCAGUAAAUUAUAUGCAAAAUGUGAUUAUGUGCUUUGUGACAUAGGCAGUA